GGACCACACGGUCUCCAGUCAGAAGUACCAACUCACAUGCACAUUUGUGAUCACCAAUAUGCAUUUCUGGUUACAGGGUGAUACACAAAUAAAACUAAGAUUGUUCCUAACAGAAUGGAAAGUUCAAGUAGUCUUCUUCCUUUAGUUUGUGUGAGAGAGAGACUGAUUCUCAAUGCACUAGCGCAGGCACAUGCAUAGACAAGUCAUUUGAAUUAUAGAACAAAAUGUCACCACAUUUAAGUCAAAAUGACACAGAAUAAGGCAAUAAAAUUGCAGUUCAAACAUCUAGUGAUCCUGUUAUUCAUAACUUACUAUUUGAAAUACCUCAAUAAUAUUCGGCAUCAAACACAAAAUCUUCAUGUUUUUGCUAUUUUGAAAAGGCAUAACAGAACUGCAUAUAUGUUUAUUGCAUGCAUUGACAGAUGAAAAACCUUACCACAGGUUCAACUUCCAAAA
rnacentral:misc_RNA from 1 species